rnacentral:lncRNA from 1 species
CCUGCCAUGUAUAUUUCCCAGGUAGUUCCACCUUGUCUCUAUCUAUCAUACAUAAUUAAUUUAUUAAUUAUAUUAACUGUCAAUUGUCUGUCUAGUGUUUGGUUAUAAUGCAGUCAAAACAAACAUGUCUAUUGCUAGCCUGGAAUAUGGAGUUGUGACUGUUUGGGGAAAACCCACCUGGCCAGCAAACUCAUGAGCCUAAUUAAAGUUAAUAGAGAAAAUAAUGUCCAUACUGACAGAGCAGGAAAUGUAUUAAUAGAUGCAUGAAGCAGGCAAGGGCAGAGGCAGAGUGUGGCAAAUUAAAGGGCACCUGCCUCAUCUAGAGGCAGCCUCUACCCAGCACGAGCA